CUUUGCAGAUAAUAAAGCAACUCUUUCACUUCUGCAGGAUUGUCAAGUGGGAUGUCCAAACCUGAGAAACAGCUAUUUGGUUCUUUACUCUGCCCCUGAAUAGAGUCGGAGCUUCAGGCUUCAGGGAGGGACAAUUGCCAUCAAAAGUCGUCAUGCCCGGGAGCAGGUGUUGCUCAGAAUUGUGAAGACGUUAUGAACCCAGGUGACUUGACUCAAGAGUUACAACCCCACUAAUGAGAAGUGAUUUUUGGCCAUGUUGAAGUCAUGACCGGUUUCCCUGGGAAGUCAACAGAAGUUUGGCAGACACUUCCGACGGACUCAGACCCCAGCAAUAUCUCUCCCUGGCACUGCGCGCGGCUGAUCAAAGCGAGAAGCUUUGCGAACUCCCCAGAGGGUGCACGCCUCCCAUCUAACCUUUGGUGAAGGGAAGUGACGGCGUGGUCACGGUGCGCCUGUCAGCCUGCAGCCGCGCCCUGGCUCACACUGGGGCGGGUUGUGGGGAAUAGUGAUGGGGGCGCCCCUUUCCCCGGCUGUCUGAGCCUUAGCUGGGAGACUGUGCUGGGGAAGAGGCAGGGGCAGAGCCAGUUCCGAGGGGUGUAGGACCCCAAGCAAGAGGGGCCU
ensembl:lncRNA novel transcript